GAAACUGAGGACAUACUGGAUAGGCAUUUUUCCUGUAUGGUUGUGGCGAAAGUUUUUUCGCCUAAGGAUGGGUCUGCGGCCGAUAGGUAGUUGGUUAGGUAAUGGCUUACCAAGCCUUUGAUCGGUACGGGUUGUGAGAGCAAGAGCCCGGAGAUGGAACCUGAGACAAGGUUCCAGGCCCUACGGGGUGCAGCAGGCGCGAAACCUCCGCAAUGUGAGAAAUCGCGACGGGGGGAUCCCAAGUGCCAUUCUUAACGGGAUGGCUUUUCAUUAGUGUAAAGAGCUUUUGGAAUAAGAGCUGGGCAAGACCGGUGCCAGCCGCCGCGGUAACACCGGCCGCUCUAGUGGUAGCAAUUUUUAUUGGGCCUAAAGCGUCCGUAUUCGGUUUAAUAAGUCUCUGGUGAAAUCCUGUAGCUUAACUAUGGGAAUUGCUGGAGAUACUAUUAGACUUGAGACCGGGAGAGGUUAGAGGUACUCCCAGGGUAUAGGUGAAAUUCUGUAAUCCUGGGAGGACCGCCUGUUGCGAAGGCGUCUAACUGGAACGGUUCUGACGGUGAGGGACGAAAGUUAGGGGCGCGAACCGGAUUAGAUACCCGGGUAGUCCUAACUGUAAACGAUGCGGACUUGGUGUUGGGGUGGCUGUGAGCUGCUUCAGUGCCGAAGGGAAGCUGUUAAGUCCGCCGCCUGGGAAGUACGGUCGCAGACUGAAACUUA
rnacentral:rRNA from 1 species